rnacentral:rRNA from 1 species
AUUGAACGCUGGCGGCAGGCCUAACACAUGCAAGUCGAGCGCGAAAGUUCUUCGGAAUGAGUAAAGCGGCGGACGGGUGAGUAAUACAUGGGAAUCUGCCUGGUAGUGGGGGACAACGUUUCGAAAGGAACGCUAAUACCGCAUACGCCCUACGGGAGAAAGCAGGGGACCUUCGGGCCUUGCGCUAUCAGAUGAGCCUA